rnacentral:rRNA from 1 species
CAGCCGCCGCGGGAAUACGAAGGGGGCUAGCGUUGUUCCGAAUUACUGGGCGUAAAGGGCGCGUAGGCGGCCAUUCAAGUUAGAUGUGAAAGCCCUGGGCUCAACCUAGGAAUUGCAUUUGAUACUGUUUGGCUUGAGUUCGGGAGAGGUGAGUGGAAUUCCCAGUGUAGAGGUGAAAUUCGUAGAUAUUGGGAAGAACACCAGUGGCGAAGGCGGCUCACUGGACCGACACUGACGCUGAGGCGCGAAAGCGUGGGGAGCAAACAGGAUUAGAUACCCCUGUAGUCCCUGUCUCUUAUAC